ensembl:snRNA U2 U2 spliceosomal RNA
CCUUCUUCUCUGCCUUUUGGCUAAGAUCAAGUGUAGUAUCUGUUCUUAUCAGUUUAAUAUCUGAUACAUCCUCUAUCUGAGGAUAAUAUAUUAAAUGGAUUUUUGGAACAGGGAGUCAGAAUAGGAGCUUGCUCCGUCCACUCCACGCAUCGACCUGGUAUUGCAGUUCUUCCAGGAACAGUGCACCUCCC